GUUUUGCGUUAGGGAUUGAAACGGCAGCUUUUUUGAUAGAUUUUCGCUAUCAAAAAACUAUAGUGGAAAGCCCGUUAAAAC
rnacentral:sRNA from 1 species